UACGAAGGGGACUAGCGUUGUUCGGAAUUACUGGGCGUAAAGCGCGCGUAGGCGGAUCGCUAAGUCAGGGGUGAAAUCCCAGGGCUCAACCCUGGAACUGCCUUUGAUACUGACGAUCUGGAGAUCGGGAGAGGUUGGUGGAAUUCCGAGUGUAGAGGUGAAAUGCGUAGAGAUUGGAAAGAACACCAAUGGCGAAAGCACUUUACUGGGCUAUUACUGACACUGAGAGACGAAAGCUAGGGUAGCAAAUGGG
rnacentral:rRNA from 1 species